GGGAGAUUAAAUAAAAGAGUUACACCUGUUCCUAGUUUGUGAAAUGUUAUAAUUUUCAGACUAUCAUUUCAAUCAUAUUUAAGGCCUGUGCCAGCCAUCAUUACCACAAGAUAUGCCAGUUUUGCAUGUCACACCAUUGCUUGGAUAAACAGCAUUUCUCUUGAUUGGAGAAACCACCGAUGUCGUCCCAGUUAAGGAUCUCUUCUUCCCCUUUCUUUGACCAACAUGGGUGUAUCGAGUGUAUACACGAGGACGCCCUUUUUCCUAUUCCGCCUGGCGUACUCAACUCUUUUGUGGAUGGGGCACUUGUGGAUGCCUGGCUUUUUUCACAGGCUUAAAGACAGGGUUCAUUUGGUAACCCAUUUGUAGAACGACUGCAGAUCAGGCCUGUUUUUGUAAUAUUUUAACUUUAAACACUUCAAGCAACGAGCAAAUAGAAAAUGUUACGACCAAGAGGGACCUGCCCGCCACAACGGCACCUCCUCUAUGUUUCCAUGGAGACGAUAUUGUAUAUAGGACGUUGGAGAUUCAGCAAUUCAGAUUUGAAAUUCGAUCCCCCCCGCUGUCGUUGCCGAUCUUAUUUGGGACUUUUUGAUGCGCGGUAUACUCAGCGAACGUGUCGAGUUUGAAAAUAGUUUUCCGUGUUUCCACUUUCAUUUCCAUCCUUGGGCGAUGUCAAAAUGCAUAUGCUAUUACAACAUCCAAGCGGAGCCGACAUCCUCACAUAUAACUUUCUCUCCCCCUUUGCCAUCCGCCAUAGAGCGAUCGAUUUUUCCGGGAAUUUCUUUUCCUAUACUGCACAAAACAACAUCACCAAAGGAAAUCAGCUUAUAGCUUAUACAGUGCAGCACAAUAUAUGAUAAGACAUCAGUGUUAACGUACACUUGAGUGGAUUUUGAGUGGGAUGCCAUUGGAUAUUCGUUGUUCGCUUAUCCGCACUCAUCUCAGUCAAUAAGCGAUCCCGUCCGACUUGUGAAGACGCUUUCAACGGAACUCGUACGGACAUAAGCACAAUAUAAGACCCAACUUGUAAGCGCUCUCCUCAAGGCAGCCAAAUACUUUCGACACAUAAUAUAGCGCCCGCCAUGAGUCUCCGUCCAGAAGAAGAAGAGGAAGAGGAACUUGUUAUUCUGACCUCCUGACGAUGGGGAAUAGAAAUUUGUCAAUCCAUUCACUCGUUGACGCACAGUCUAGAUUUUAUCCAAUAAAAUACAAAGAAUCUUCCAUCAGUCAUCCCCAAAAGGUUGAACACCAACUGAAUUUGAAAAAGUUUAGGUGUCGAAAAACACGCAGGAUUUUUAGCGGCUGCUCGAGUGACUCAAGGGGACAGUGUCAAUAGUUGAUAAUGAACCUCGUUCAACCGUCGUUAAGCCGGGGUGAAAAAAAUAUAUUGUCAUUAGCGAAGAAAACAACACGUACUCGCUCGUUUCAUUAUGCUGAACAAAACAUGUAGCCUUCAGGUCAUUGCAGCUGUUGGUGUCAUACCUCGUCUCUUGUUGAAGUGGAGUUCGUGUCCCUUUGAUGACGAGUUGAGUUGAAUCACAGCUUGCUAGCUGCCGCAGGAAACGUCGAACCAGACGUCUUGAUAUGAUUUCCGGUCAUGAAAGAUAUAUAUGUAGCGUCGAGUGCCCAGCAGCUCCGUGAUGAGUCAAAGGUUUGUGUACAAACAUUGCCUGAUCAAAGAUCUGUAUAGUUGUCUCCGAAAUAACGUUUCGUAUGAUCUGACUCCCGUCACGUCACAAGGGGGUGUAUAGUGUACGAUGAUACACCCCCGUCGUCUG